AUGGGCGCCCGUCCGGCCCUGGCGUCAUCGUCUCCGCGUCUCUACCCACUGAGCAAAGACACACGAAAUGAAGCUCGAACGAGCACAGCCAAAGAACGGCCGUUUCUGUCCUUUCUUCUUAAUCCCUUUGGCUUAGGGUUUCCCGGCCUGGACAGCCUGCCCAAGGGCACAUGGGCAUCCGUCCGGGGACAUUCAGGCAGUGACCAAUCCCAGGCCACCCAGGCUGCGCCCUGCGUCGUGGGCCAUUUCCCAGCCGGCCAGAGAUGGAGCAGCCACUGCGGGUCCCCGAGUCUCGGUGAGACAGUCAAGGAUGGACCUUGGAUGGAGACCGGCGUGCGGCCAUGUCCGUGGGUGAAGGAGGCGUGCAGGCCGUGCUGGGGGACAUGGUUGCUGUCCCCUCGGCCAAACCAUGAAAAGCAGCCCUCUCCCCCAACCCCCAGCACCAACCCGGAGACCACCCUCGGCCGGAGCCCAGCACGGCCACCGUCACGUCUCGGUCGUCCAGCUUGGGACAGCCCCCAAGGAGAAGAGGUGCUGAACUGGGUCCCCUGGAGGCUCCUGAGCCCCAGAACAGUGCCCUCUGAGCAGACGGGCACUCUCAGACCAGCUCCCGCUGGACAAGUCAGCUCCUGCCUGCCGCCUGAUGGGCCCUUGGGAGAAGCAGACAUGGUGAGGAAAAGGCCCCUGUGCCCUUCACCCUAAUUCCCCAGCCCCAAGUCCCACUGGGUUGCCAGCUUCAACCUAAGCAAAUAAUUCGUGCCCUCUAAACAAACGCGCGGGAAUCCCACCUGCCCUUCCCCCGCCCGCCCCCCCACCCCUGGCCUUGACCUCCAAAAGCACUUGAGGGGGCUUUCUCCAGACACCCUCCAACCCCGACCCCAUGAAGAAGGGGUGAUGGGGCUGUUACCCCAACAAGCAAGAGAACGAAGCCCAGAGAGGAGUUGGCGUGGACAGCAGGGGUCAGGCCCCUUUGCCCCGAGGGCAGGGCUGGUGCCACCUGGGUCAGGCGGCAGGCCCUGGAAAAGCACCGGAAAUGAGCACACCUGGGUCUCUAGAAGGUUCUUCCAGACCUCUGGGGGCUGAGUCAUUUCAACACUCCUGGGCCGGGCAGGGCUUCUUCUUGGCCCCGAGGGACAAGGUCCCCUUCGUCCGGGGGGUACGGCCCCUGGACCCCUGGACCCCUGUCCCCCGCACCCCACCCUCCGCCUGGUGAGGGCCGCGGCCAGCUCUGGACACAGAUCCCUCAGAGCCCCUUCUCCCUCCCUGCUCCCUCGUCUUCCCAAGAUGCCCCGGCCUCCAGGUGGGGCAGCCAGGCGGCAGAAUGUGGUCCAGGCCUCUCGGCCCCACCCACACCCCCCUGCUCUGCCCUGACAGCCUCCAAGACGCAUUCACGUCGCUGCGUUCUGCGUCCUGUCUCCUCAUGGCACAAAACGGUGCCCGCCUAGCUUCCCCCAGAGAAGGGAGAUCGUGCUCCCCGGACGGACCCUGCUCUGCCUGUCCUCCCGCCCGGCCUUCAGGGCCUCUCCCCAAGGGUGGCAGCGAGGAGGCCCUCGCCUCCGGCCACGGGGGCUCCAUCCUCCCGAGCCCGACAGGCCUCCGCCUGGUGGUCCGACCUCUUCCCCAAGGCCCCGCCCACCCUCCUCGCGCUCCCCCAAACCCUGCCUCUUUCCCCAGCGCCCUCGUCCCCACGGAAGACCCUCCACCCGUGCCAUUACACGCUCUCGCCCCACCCUCCCAGCCACCCCCCCUUCCCCAUCCUCCUGGAAGCUCCCACUUCCUUCCCGUCUCCCACGGCAGCAGAGGGUCAGCAGCUCAGGGGUCCUGGGGCCGUGGAGAUGGCCUGCCCGGGGGUCUCGCUGACCGCCUCCUACGGAAGCUGUGCCGGGGGGUGGGGGUGUCUCUGCCCGAACGGCUGGAGGACGAGCCACAUCCCAGGGCAGCCGGAACCUGCGUCCUGGUCUGAGACGGAGAGGCUGGGUGCAGGUGGCUGAGGGGCCUGCACACAGCUUGGCCUGGGGUCCCCUAGGUGACAACACUGGCUGAACACUCAUUGCUGCUCCCCUUCCAGGGUGACCCUGGGGUCCCCGUGUGGCCCUCAGGGAACACGGGGGCCCCACCAGGCCUCACAGAACCCCAGUGGGACUGCACCCAGGGCCCACAGAAGUGCGGGGGCACUGGGGGUCCAGAAACAACCCCACAACCAGGCCAAGGUGGCCAAGGCCUUACUCGAGCGGGGCUGCCCGUCCCAAGAGACUCUGGCCAGUCGUCCGGAUCCAGCUUCCCGGGGCCAGGCCGCCCGCUGGGCUCCAGGCGGUUCUGGGGGGCCCUCCCCCGGGGGUUCGCCCUCCACUCUCAGCAGCAGGAAGAGGAGCGCGGCCAGCGGAUGGGGAGAAGAGGGCGCCCUGGCCAUCUUGCUCCCCCUGGGACUUGAGGAGGGUCUCGGGCCGGGCAGGCGGGACCGGGAGCCACAGAGACCCUGGAGGAGGCAGCAUGGCGGGGAGGUGACCGGGGAAGAGGGCCGUGUCCCAGGCUCACAGCCCGGCCUGGCCGCCCGGCCCUCGGGAGGCGUGCCGCUGACCGCCUGGCCGGGAGGUUUGCUGCGUGUGGGGUUUGCAGAAAGUGCUGAGCUGCUGAGCCCACAGGCCAGGCUCAGAGGGGACAGGAAGGAGGUUGCUGCCCAGCCUCGGGCACUGCUGACCCAUCUCCCGUUUCCAGGGCACCAGAGCCACCUAAUCUGCCGGCUCUGUGCCCAGGGACAGGCUUGCCUGAUCUCUCAAGGCCGGGCGCUUCGCCUUCCCUGGGAGAGGGUUAAACAUCCAGCCCCAGCCAGCAUCUCGGGCAGGUUCCUGGCUCCCCCCGCUCGUGCCUCCUCUGAGACCCUGGUCGGCACACCUUUCCCUUGAGAGGAGGAGGAGGAGGAAAGCGGAUGGAACCAGUGACCCUGCAGCCCCUGAGGGCACCUUCCCACG
rnacentral:lncRNA from 1 species